rnacentral:rRNA from 1 species
UACAGAGGUCUCAAGCGUUGUUCGGAUUCAUUGGGCGUAAAGGGUGCGUAGGCGGCGCGGUAAGUCGGGUGUGAAAUCUUGGAGCUUAACUCCGAAACUGCAUUCGAUACUGCCGUGCUUGAGGACUGGAGAGGAGACUGGAAUUUACGGUGUAGCUGGUGAAAUGCGUAGAUAUCGUAAGGAAGACCAGUGGCGAAGGCGGGUCUCUGGACAGUUCCUGACGCUGAGGCACGAAGGCCAGGGGAGCAAACGGGG